rnacentral:rRNA from 1 species
AGAGUUUGAUCCUGGCUCAGAGUGAACGCUGGCGGUAGGCCUAACACAUGCAAGUCGAACGGCAGCACAGGAGAGCUUGCUCUCUGGGUGGCGAGUGGCGGACGGGUGAGGAAUGCAUCGGAAUCUACUCUUUCGUGGGGGAUAACGUAGGGAAACUUACGCUAAUACCGCAUACGACCUACGGGUGAAAGCCGGGGACCUUCGGGCCUGGCGCGAAUGAAUGAGCCGAUGCCCGAUUAGCUAGUUGGCGGGGUAAGAGCCCACCAAGGCGACGAUCGGUAGCUGGUCUGAGAGGAUGAUCAGCCACACUGGAACUGAGACACGGUCCAGACUCCUACGGGAGGCAGCAGUGGGGAAUAUUGGACAAUGGGCGCAAGCCUGAUCCAGCCAUACCGCGUGGGUGAAGAAGGCCUUCGGGUUGUAAAGCCCUUUUGUUGGGAAAGAAAAGCAGCCGGUUAAUACCCGGUUGUUCUGACGGUACCCAAAGAAUAAGCACCGGCUAACUUCGUGCCAGCAGCCGCGGUAAUACGAAGGGUGCAAGCGUUACUCGGAAUUACUGGGCGUAAAGCGUGCGUAGGUGGUUGUUUAAGUCUGUCGUGAAAGCCCUGGGCUCAACCUGGGAAUUGCGAUGGAAACUGGGCGACUAGAGUGUGGCAGAGGAUAGUGGAAUUCCUGGUGUAGCAGUGAAAUGCGUAGAGAUCAGGAGGAACAUCCGUGGCGAAGGCGACCGUCUGGGCCAACACUGACACUGAGGCACGAAAGCGUGGGGGAGCAAACAGGAUUAGAUACCCUGGUAGUCC